rnacentral:rRNA from 1 species
UCUCCUACGGAGGCAGGCAGCAGUGGGGAAUAUUGCACAAUGGGCGCAAGCCUGAUGCAGCCAUGCCGCGUGUGUGAAGAAGGCCUUCGGGUUGUAAAGCACUUUCAGCGAGGAGGAAGGUGGUGAACUUAAUACGUUCAUCAAUUGACGUUACUCGCAGAAGAAGCACCGGCUAACUCCGUGCCAGCAGCCGCGGUAAU